GGAGGAGUCCUCGAGUUUAUAUAUGAGAGAUUUCUGCAACGGUAUCAAACUAUUUCACAGGAAAACUUGAAUCUCUGCUUCCAGACACCACACCACCGAAUCAUGUCUAGCUUCUUAAACCAAGCCCAGCAGAAAGCUGAUGAAACCGUUAAGCAAGGAGAACAGACAGUCCAGGAUUGUGUUGAUAAAGGCAAAGAAGUUGGUCAACAAGUUAUUGACCAAGGAUGUCAAACUGCCAAAAACACGUGUGAUGAAGUAACAGGACAAGUUGGUGAUAAGCUCACUGGUGGAUGGAAGAAGCACUCAUAAUACAAAAAAGUCAUAAUUCUGAACAUGAUUUUAAAUAAAUAAUUUGUAUUUACUUUA